CCAAUGAGAGAACAAGAGGCAGGUUAGCACCACGGACCCACACACACACACACACACACACAGUGUUUUCAUGUUUGUGGGGACAUCUCAUUGGCAUAAUGCUUUCCCUGGCCCCCUACCCUAACCAUCAGAAAUGAAUGCCUAACCCCAACCCCAACUGUAGCCCUGACACUAAAACCACAUUUUUGAGUCUCAAAAAUGUCUUCAAACUUGUGGGGACCUGGAUUUUGUCCCCAUAAGGGCUGCUGGUCCCCACAAGUAUAGUAAACUUCCAAUUUGUGGUCCCCACAAAGAUAUGAAUACACGCUCACACACGCACAUGGACAAACAUCAUGGUGUGUAACUAACAGUGACGUCCGCACGGCGGUCAGCUGGUCGCUGAGGCCACACAGACAAAGAUGGACGUGUGGACGUACAAUUACAGAGUUAUAAGAACAAAGAAUAUGAUAAUAAUUUGCAGUGUUUUUAUUCUGUUGUUGUCCAUUUUUAUAUCAGUCUGGAAGCUGAAGCUGGAUGAACUGAUGGAGAAGGGUGGGACUGAAAUGUCCAUCUAUGCACUGGAUCAGGUGGAUGUUACUUUGUGCAGGAUUCCCUGAAUGAUUUUAGUACAUUGUUUACACAUUCAUAAUAAAUUGAAAACUAUUAAAAAUGUCUCUGAUAGCGCAUCACCACAUGGUCUCCACGGAGACAUCUGUUCUUUAUUAAAAACCCAUCCAGAUCUGCUUUGAUGGAACAUUUGUGUUACUGGGUCAAAGGUCAUGGUUCAGUCUGACAUGUACCUGAGGAUCUGUCCUGGUUAAGAACUCAGAACCGUGCAAAGAGCUCCACAGAUUCAUUUUGAGCCUCCAUCUAUAAAAACAACACGUGGUCUUGAUCCUGUGAGCUCUGUGCACGUGUGCGGACGUCACAUGAUCAGUGUCUCACGCACACACAGUAUUCAUCAGUCAGGAUGCUCAGAUUGGACAACUGAAAGUUUUCUGGUGUGUGUGUGAAUACAGGUCCUUGUACGUGAUGAAUGUGAGCUGGACUGAGCAGCAUGUGAGGCAGUUUCAGCUGUUUUAUUGGAAAUGUUCUAAACGCACGAGCGGCGCUCGGCCUAUCAGCAGGCAGGACAGUGACACCAUUAGAGUCAUUCUGUCCAAUAAAUAAACAACUGGGUAUCAAUUUGGAUCUUUUUUCUCUUCAGUACUGAAGGUCUGAAUAAUUCUCGCUCCCCCGGCGUUCAUGCACUGUUGAUACGUGAACAUCGCAGUUGCUCGGAAGGAUUCAGGCUCAUUAAGAUGUAAAACAGAUGCAUCACCUUCUUUUCUGCCUUUCUGCUUCCUGUGAGGCUGAAGCUUGAGCAAGGUCGGCGCGGUCGACCAAUCGGCUGUUUGUUUCCUCCUCGCGCUGCUUUUUUUGCCAUUAUGGGGGUUUGCGAUGAUUUCUUUGAGAUUAGGCGCCAACACGUUUGAGUCCCGACAGCGCAGGCCUUUCACGCCCGGCGCCUGGCUCAAUAAGUGCGACGGGAAGUGUGACAGUGGCGAGAAGCGAAGUGAGUAAUUGUAAUAAAAAAAGUUUUAUGUCUCUGUGAUACAGUAAGAAAUGCAUAACUGUAAUUAGGUCCCACAGCAGAGGCCACUAAAUAAUACAAGCCCCCCCCUCCCGGUUUUGCACACUUUCAUUCCCUCAGCAACUUCUUUGAAAAUUAUUUUGCAAUAAAACACCGCUGAGCACAUUUGCAUGUCAUGUUCUUUUAAAGUGGCGUUAUGAAUCUGACAAAACCAAAUUAAAACACGGCUUUAUUUGAGCUGUGCUUUCACAAGUAUGGAAAUGGAUAUGAAAAUGAAAGGAAGUGCCAGCGUAACAGAGGGAAAAUAAAGAGCUAAUAACAUGAUAAAACAUCUCUUAGAUUCAGCAGCCAGUAAUAACUCUCAGACUGUCUGCAGGGCGGGAGGAGAGCCCAGCAAACUCACUUCACGUGCUUCCCCGCUCCGCGUUACAACUGCAACCAAACAGAACCGUCACACUUACACGUCUGCUCUCUGCACGCCAGCUGCGUCGGCCACAGCAGCUCACCCUAUCUGCACAUCCAACCACGGCAAAGAACGACACGUAUGGGACACCUACUGUGGAACUUGGUGCUGCUGCCCUGUGUGGUAACUUUGUGAGCUGUGGUUGAGGGUUCCAGUGAACGUCUGCAGAGAAACUUUUAACCGUGUUCAACUACUGUUCAUGACUUGUUGGCCUGUAAUCUCUCAGACGUGCCUCUCAUGAAUCAUAUUAAGUCAUUGUGAGCCAGAAAGAAGAUUAUACAUCCCUCAUGUCCCGGUAUAAACGCUCACGGACAUGACACGUGUCUGUUUCUACAGAGACAGCAGCACAAACUCCAACAAGUACACAUCACUGGCGUGUAAGGAUGCUGAAAGAGGCCAAAAACCACUGGACUGAUGUUCAUGCAGGAAUCAGGGGUGAGGAACAUCUUCAUACGCGACGCCACAGAGCUGUGAAAGUGCUCGGCAGCAGAUCCUCCGACCGACUUGGACCCAAACGCCAUGACCUCACAGUGGAAGAAGAACAAAGGGAGGCUUUUUGAUACGCAGCGUGAGCCACACGUCAAACUAUUUACACGCUGGUGUAAGCACUUACGGCUACGACUCUUUCUGCUUGACAACGGCCAUAAACACAGGAGUAAGAGAUCAAAACUGUUCAUCAGAGAGCGUGACAGAUGACAGAUAUGGCAAGAGAUUUUCCAUGAUCUUCUGCACACAUGGGGGGAGGGGGGACUUCAAGGGACGGAGGAGGGGAAGGAAAAAAGGAGCUCGGAGAAAAGUUGGUUUCCACACGAGGAGGUGCAGCGGCUCAAGAAAUGAGAAAGUCAGAAAGUUGCCACCAACAGUGACAAUGGGAUCAGCGUGUGCUGCAGACGGGCUUGGCUUCCUUCCCUUUACGGGUGGGGGGUCAGCCAUUAACUAGUCACAUGAAUGGUGAAAUAAUUUUUAAGUUUGAGUUUAGGAGAAGUCUUCUUUCAUUGAACCACUCUUAUUGGCUUACUCGAGGACAUUAAAGUACUGCAGUACUUGCUGGAAUGUGAGUUCGUACUGAAAAACGAUUUCCUAAAAGCUGUUGUUAAAGAUGUGCACAGAAACACGACGUCAGCUGCCGACUGACAAAGUCAAACACAUUCAAACAUUCACACGUCUCCAAAGACUGGGGUCAAAGUUCACGCUCAGCUCACACCGUUGAUGUCUCUGAUCAUAAGAAACAUUAAGAUCUGCAAUAAAGAUGAUUUUGUAAUGAACUACACGUCGUGCAAUCAGAGCUGAUCAGGCGCAUUUUGUGAUAAAGUUUUGAUAAGUGAUCGGCGAGCCUGUCGUCAUGGAAACUCAUUGUUUAAAUGUUUUUCAUUUGCUGUAAGGUGCCUAUAAAUAAAAUACAUUAUAAUAAUUAUUAUUAACGUUGGUUAAUAAUGAUGUUUACUCAAAGGCGCCAGUCUCUACGGUAACGUCAGUCAUGUGGCACACGUGUGCCGGUCAGACUGCAAUCUCUGAAACGAGGUUCAUGGUCAUGUGACUCAGGUUGCCGCCACCUGCCCACUGAGACGCUCAGAAUAACAUCCACACAGUAUACCCGUUUAACUUUGAAAUAACGUCCAGAUAACUGUUUACAAACCAACUUUAUCGAUCAGUAAACAUUAUUAUUGAUUAUUAUAAUUAUUUAUCAACAAUAAAUAAUAAUUAUUAGGUCCUUUAUUAGUUAUUAUUUUAGUAAUAAAACAGGUUUUUCUCUAAGUAAUGAAACAGCAGGUUGGAUUUAUUUUCUUCAUCGAAGAAAAAACAAGUGACUGUGAUUUUUAGUGAUGAUUAUUAUUUUGGGGGGGGGGGGGUCCUGAGAAGGGGCACAUCCUGGUUAAAAUGAUUUCUUUGUCUGACUGAGUAAAGAAUAAUUAAUAAAUAGCGUGGCGCCACGGCCCUCCCCUUCCUGCUGCUGUUGAAAUCCAUAACAUUUCUUUUGUUCCCUCCUUUCUGUAAGCCCGCUCUCUUAUUUUCCCAAGGCCGAGAAACUUCAGACAUGAGAACCCUGAUAUAAAACCAGGGAAAUUUACCUGGGAUUAGCAGCCAUUGACAAAUAACCUUGGUGAUAGAUGCACAGUAGAUUUGGUUCAAAGCUCUCCCGGCAGCCUCAAAAGAGAUUAGUUCACUUCUUAUCAGGUCAGCGGCGUCGCCUGGGAAAUGUGUUUAAAGUCACAUUGAUUUAUUGAAAGAUUCCCCAAUAAGAAGAUAUCUGUAGACUUAAGGAGUGUGUGUGUGUGAGAGUGUGUGUGUGAGAACAAGUGCCUGAAAUAAAUUACCCUGCCUGUUGGAGCUUUAAGAAAAAGAAAAGCUGCAUACAAAGACAUUUCAAACUCAAAAAGCACUUGUAGAUAACUCGCUGGAUUCGGCCUCUGGAGAAAGACGCCGCUGUUCUCGCUCUACCUGCCUCUCUCUCCAUUUACCCCACGCUGGCAGCGCUGCUGAAAACAGCGAUUGUACCGCGGAGAGACGCCGAGCACCGCUGACAGGGAGGUAUAAUAAGGCCUCUUUGUUCCCCAGAGAGCGAGGUAGAGACACAUAUGGACAGAGGGGGGUUUACACCAUUACCUUCUUAAGCGUCAUUAUCAGGCCGAGGAGAAGAGGACUGUGGGAAAGCGGGUGGGGAAGCCGGUGAGUGAAAUGGAAGAUCUGGCGUGUCGCUCACCGGGUCCACCUGCAAGACGACGGCUUCGAUUCUCUGCUGGCUCACGCUCACAGGAAGCUGUCCCUAAACCUCAUCCCGCCGCUGCUCUUCUGCUGUUAUUGUUUCUGCUCUGUCGCUUCAGCCGAGACAAAAGCUCGCUUCAGGACGCCAUGAGGGUCGGGCCCGUCUGUGAGCGCCGCUUUGGUGAAUAGUCCAGUUCUUACGCAGCUCCUCCUGAGCGCUUCAUACAACCGCCUGAUCUACAGCCACCGCGUCUUCCUGCUUAAAUAAAGGUUAAAGAAUACACCAUACAGCCUCAGCCAGGAGCUGAUGUCCUGACCACUUCCCAGGGCCUCCUCCAGGAAGCUUCCUGUCACAUCUGGAGCCACCUACUCUGCCUCCUCUUGAUGUGGAGGAGCUCCUGAGUGACCUCCCAAGCUCCUCUGCCCACCUCUGAGGCUGAGCACAGCUCACUUCUUCUGCUCGGUUCUUCUAACACCUGCAAAGUCCUCGUCAGGAACUCGUAGGCGUGGAGGUGGCACAAGUUGCUGUGGUUAGACCUUUGUCUGCCACCUUUUCCUCACUUGAAGUGGUUCAGGAAAAGUUUGGCGUUGACGCUUCAUUGACAUUGAAAAGUGUGCUAACCAAUUAAACGAUGAGCGGCUCUUUUCAAAAAUAACCCCCCCAAACUGGACAGAAGGAGGGAAAGAUGGAAAACAAAAGAUUCACACAGAAGAGUAAAACAUGCACACCUGAUUGACUCUGAUGUCAUCAGUCAGCCAGGUGUAACCCCUCACCCGUCACCCAGCGCCACACAGCACCCGCCUUCCAGCCUGGAAUAUCAGAGCCGCCUGACUGGAACGAAGCGGAUAACGCGGCUGUCGUCUCUCCUCUCCUUCUUUCUGCUCCUACUCCCUCACUUCCUUCGUCCACAUACCUUCAUCCCUCCAUCCUCCAGCUUCCUCCAUGCCUUCGUCUCUCUCCCACUGCUUGCUUUUAACUCUUGAGGUCAUCUGGGACCCCCGGGCAGCCGUCCCAGAAUGAUGAGCCGGCUAACGUCCCGCGGAGCUGCCUUCUGGACAGAGCGGGCAGCCGAGCCAGGACUGGAUCGAUGCACGGACUGAACCGAGGAUUAGACUACAACUACACCCUGAAAAAAAUCACACGUGUUCACGAGGCCUUCGGUCACGGCGGAGGCUGCAGACCUCCCCGACACCUUCAUCUGGAGACGAGGAGAAACAGCCAAUCACAGCAGGCUUUACUGUGUUUUUGCUGUGUCCCAACACCUCACAGGUAAAACCAGGAAAGGAACGCCAACAAGCACGCCAUCAGGAAGCAGCAAAAGGCAGGAAAGUAACUAAGUACAUUUGUUCAAACAAACUAUCCAAGCUCCCUUCUGUGUACUCGAGUAUUUCUGUUACAGACUCCCGUACAUGUGGACAGUGUGUGCAUAUAAAUGUAAGGCGGUUAUUACACUUUCCUCCAUUACUCUCAGAAACGCUGCAGACGUCUUUCAAAAAGAAAACAUGAGAGUACUCACAUUACUUUUCAUUACCCUCCUUUGAGAUUCCAGGCAUCAGAUCUCCUCUCUGCUCUGUCAAACUGCCUUAAACCAAAACCAGGAACUUCCUGUCAGCAUUUUAAAUAAAGUUGAUUCAAUCAUAUAAAACAUCAGUUUAACUGCACGAAGGCACAAACGCAGAUUUAUUUAUUUCACUGUUUAAAUGUAAUUUAGUGAAACGUUCACAGAAACGCCGCGCUGGAGGAAGCAGCAGAAGGAGCUCGUGGUCAUUUUAAACGCAGGUGUGACAGGAAACGGCUCAGAGUGACGGGUGAUGACACCUCCAGAUGUCACGGAUAUUUAACCCUUGAGAGUCGGAACCGUGCAAUUAUUUCCAAAAAAUUCUAAAAAACAAAAGAAAUCACACAUAAAUGUGCAAAUAUGAGUUUAGUUUGUAUCAGUUUUGCAAUUUACUUCUUCACAAUGAAUUCAGGAACAUUAAACAACAUGGCGUUACGCCCGUCUUUUGUGUAGUCAUGGUUACAGCCUCUGUCAGAAGAUAAAAUGUUAUCAGUGAGCUUUCAAUAGAACAAUAACGCCUUUGAAAGGUGAUCUGAAACGUGGCUACAAACAGCCUCUGAUUGGUCACCUCCCGCCCCCCUCAUGUCUCACAUUUACAUUUAUAAAAGUAGUUCAUGUACCAUCAGAUCAUAAAGACACAAGUUAUCUUAGUCAUGAGCGCUCGGUGUGUUUAAAGCAAGUCCGACAUUUGAUUUGAUUUCACUUUCUUAGCUUCUCGUCAUUUUUUAGGGUUUCGUCUUAAUGUGAAAGCUGCCGUGUAAAUAAAGUUUGACUGACUGACAGCAGCAGCACCUGAACUGCACCUGAAGGAGCCUCUCAUCCCUCAGGAAAGGAGCAAAUCCAAAUUUAAAAACUCUGAAUCUGACAAACACACCAAAGACUGUUUGCUGCCACUUCCAAGUGAAAGACUGAAAUUACAAGGCUGAAGAACACAAUGCAGAAAAGUGGAUAUGCGAAAAGCACGGCGGUGCGGAGUUACAGAGAAGUUAACACGAGGGCUCGUGUCUCUGUGUCACCGCUCAAGUGGAAAGCUAUAAUUAGCGAUGGAGUCGUUGCCUGAGUAGUUCAACUACGCACAAAAACAUGCAACAGCAACGCGGUGCUGCUCGUAGACUGGAGGGGUAAUAACAAAAUGACAAGGAGUCAGUCACACACACACACACGGCGUGUCCAUAUAUAUGUUUCCACCCAGUGCAGAGAAACCGGCGAUCGAUGUCAGGAACAAUGCUGCAGCGUGGCGUCCACGAAGCUGUCGGCUCAAUACGGACGGGCGAGCCGGAGACAGAGGAACGGAUCGAUGUGAGCGACACGCGUUUCAAACGGAGCAGAAACACACACGCUGCUGAUCUUCAAACACGCCAACGCCACGCCCACAGUCACCUGCUCUCACACACACGCUGGGUCACACAGCUCUCUCAGGGAGACUGUCUCCAACACGUCCAGUCUGGGUCGACAGGUGAGAGGCUUUUUUUCUUUUGCUAUUUUUGAGAGACACCGGGACGAUGGCGAGGGCGAGGCACAGAGAGGGACACUCCUGCCGUUUAAAGUGAAAGAAACGAACGCACACGUGAGCAGAGCAAACCGAUAACAUGAGUCUGAAAGGCCCAAUCAAACAAACUGAUUCCAAAGUUCAGGAGCUAAACCUCAAAGCACGGUCGCCUUUAUGAUUGAAGCUGAAGUCCUGAUCAAACAAACCAGACCAACGACAAGGUGUGAUCUGUGAAAGGUUAAGACGAGCUGCAGCUGUAAGCAGGAACUCACGUUUUAAACUCGAGUGUUUAUGGAACCUUCAAAACUCCAAGAAAGCAAAUUUAAAUAAACGAGUUUGUAUCGUUUUUGCUACAUCUGUCAUUUCUGAGCAGUUUAGUGCUUAAAGAUUUAUGAUGCAGAUUAUUCAGAGAAAAAAGAAAGGAGACACACACGGUGACAACGACAUCAUCACCUGCAACAACUUCCUGUUUCUGCGUUCAUCACAACGUUUCAUGACCAGCUCAUGUGAGAGAGAGAGCGAGAGAGUGUGUGUGUUUGAGAGAGAGAGAGAGAGAGAGAGAGAGAGUGAGUGUGUGUGUGUGU